rfam:Picea glauca, whole genome shotgun sequence.
CAGAGUUGGUUUGGACAAGGGGAAUCUAACUAUUUAAUUAAAACAAAGAAUUGCGAUGGUCCCUGUGGAUGCUGAUGCAGUGUGAUUUCUACCCAGUGCUCUGAAUGUUAAAGUGAAUAAAUUCAACCAAGCAUAGGAAAAUGAUGGGAGUAACUAUGACUCUGUUAAGUUAUCCAAAUGCCUCGCCAUCUAAUUAGUGAUGCACAUAAAUGGAUUAACUAGAUUCCCACUAUCCCUAUCAACUAUCUAGCGAAACCACAACCAAGGGAAUGGGCUUGGAAUAAUCAACAGGGAAAGAAGACCUUAUUGAGAUCGAUUGCAGUCCAAAUUUGUGAAAUGAAUUGAGAGUUGUAGAAUAAGUGGGAAUAAUUUUUGGCACAAAUGAAAUACCACUAUUGUUAACAUUAUUUUACUUACAAUUUUUUGGGGCAGAGAUGGGGAAAUUACUAUAUUUUUUGCCUUAAGUCAUGUUUCGAUGGGUCGAUCUGGGUGGAAGACAUUGCCAAGUGGGGAUUUUGGAUGGGGAAACAAAUCUAUUAAAAGAUAACAUAAAAUAUAAUUGGUGUAGAUAGAACAUUUGUAUUUGGGAGAUCCUAGUGCUCAACCACCCUUAUUACCUUUCCCUCCUAAUUUGUAGU